rnacentral:rRNA from 1 species
UUCCUAGGGAGGCAGCAGUGAGGAAUAUUGGUCAAUGGCCGGAAGGCUGAACCAGCCAAGCCGCGUGAAGGACGAAGGUGCCAAGCAUUGUAAACUUCUUUUGUCAAGGGACAAAAUCAGGCUCGAGAGCCUGACCGAGGGUACUUGAAGAAAAAGCAUCGGCUAACUCCGUGCCAGCAGCCGCGGUAAUACGGAGGAUGCGAGCGUUAUCCGGAUUUAUUGGGUUUAAAGGGUGCGCAGGCGGCCUGUUAAGUCAGCGGUAAAAGCCCGGGGAUCAACCCCGGCGAGCCGCUGAAACUGGCGGG